GCCCAGCUGGCUACAUGAACCCUGGACUCUUGGCAUUCUCUGUCCUCUGGAAAAACACAAUCCCCCCGCCCCCCUGUGCGCUGCAUGCUUUAGGCACAGGAAGUCAGAAUGGGCAGAGCCCUUUGUUAACCAAUCAGAAAUCAAGUAAACAGGUCUAUUCAUCACUGUCCAAUUGCUUAACCUGCAAUAAAAGAGCUCGCCCCAAAGCGGUGGGCGCGCCACUUGCUGCNCAUCUGCAAUAAAAGAGCUCGCCCCAAAGCGGUGGGCGCGCCACUUGCUGCAAGAGAAGCUCGUCUCUGCCUGGUUUCUUCCCGCAUCUGGCGACCCCGAGCUGAUCAGCUCCCUCUGCUCAUCGGCUGGAAUAGCCCUGGUGCACCGCAGCGCGUCUUUCCGGAAACUCGUCUGCGGGCCCCCCUGGAGCCCAGGAAUAAUCGAGGGGCCUCCUACUUCCUUUCCUCCCCCGGCAACAGCCGGCAGCGCAGAAACAUUUUCGCCAAGAAGAGGUGCUCCCCGCCCCCAAGGUGACAUAUCGCCAACUGCCUGGGGCCACCUGGAGCCCACCCGUACCAUUAAUAACUUGGGGGCGAGGAUACGCCGCUCUUAGCACACCUACUAGCCCCGUGUGGGUCCCCGCCCGUUACGCUCGGCCGUGGAAGGAGGGUGGCGUGGCAUCAGGGCCUGAAUUCAAUCGAUGGCUGGCGUCCACUCGAACCAUUACCCGGGCACAGGCUCGUGGUACGCCCAAUGCCCCAGUUACAUGGGGGCAGGUUAAGGCUUUGUCCCUGCAAGCGGAGAAAACGCUGGAGACUACUGGCCUGGAAAAGACUUCAGAAAACUUUGUGGUAGCCCUGCUCGCGUGUUUAAACUCUAAUUCCUGUGUAAUGUUGUUAAGUAUUUUACACUGUUGUGUCCUC
rnacentral:lncRNA from 1 species